rnacentral:rRNA from 1 species
UGGAGCAUGUGGUUUAAUUCGAAGCAACGCGAAAGAACCUUACCAGGUCUUGACAUCCCGAUGCUAUUUCUAGAGAUAGAAAGUUACUUCGGUACAUCGGUGACAGGUGGUGCAUGGUUGUCGUCAGCUCGUGUCGUGAGAUGUUGGGUUAAGUCCCGCAACGAGCGCAACCCCUAUUGUUAGUUGCCAUCAUUCAGUUGGGCACUCUAGCGAGACUGCCGGUAAUAAACCGGAGGAAGUGGGGAUGACGUCAAAUCAUCAUGCCCCUUAUGACCUGGGCUACACACGUGCUACAAUGGUUGGUACAACGAGUUGCGAGUCGGUGACGGCGAGCUAAUCUCUUAAAGCCAAUCUCAGUUCGGAUUGUAGGCUGCAACUCGCCUACAUGAAGUCGGAAUCGCUAGUAAUCGCGGAUCAGCACGCCGCGGUGAAUACGUUCCCGGGCCUU